rnacentral:lncRNA from 1 species
GAGAGAAUGGGAAGGGCCUCCUCUAGAGACUCCUACAGAUACUUGACCAAAAGGAGUGGAGUGGAAGAAGGAAACCAGUACCUGAAGCAAACAGAGCACCUUCUCUUUGCUGUGUGUGUCGAUGGCAAAUGCGGGCAGAGGCAGGGUCUGGAAGCGGAACGAGGGUGGGGAGGAUGUUGUCCCACUCUGGGAAAGGCCAAACUGCCAUACUUCUUCUCUCUUCUACUCACACAGAGAUGGCGGGGGGAGCACGCAGACAUCAAGUCUUGCAACCUCCGAAACACGUGCAGGGCCCCGUUGGGGUGGGAAAGUCAAAUCGUAGAGUGCAGCCUAAAUGGUGUGAUCUUGACUUUUGGCAAUGAAUCCCCGACCUUUUGAAAAAUCUCAUUGUAUCUUGACACAACGUUCUCCAUCUGCUUAUGAAGGAGCUAUUGACAAUAUGUAAAUCACAAUUGUAUGAGUGAAGACUUUUGGGUGGCUUACAAGCUUCAGAACCCAACUUGAGCUCCAGGAAAAUAGAGGAGUUGCGCUGAUUCCCAUCAACCAAACUGAGGGAAGAAAAAAUGUCCUGCAUAGGACCAGGGAUAAAUGGAUUGAGGACUCCAGUGUCACCAGAUCCUGUUCUCCAUCUCUCAUUCCUAGUUCUUUUUCCAGGAGAGCCCCAUUUCUUGCAAUGGCUUCAUUACCGUAUUGGAAAAGGUCUAUGUUAGCAGGUCACACCCCUCGUGUCUCAAAGCUCUGUCACCAGUUGAGUCUGCUUCUCCCAACUCAUCUUUGUCAAUUCAGAAAGGUCAGGGGAAGGGGUCUGACGUGCUUGGCUUGGGUUCAAACUCGUCUUAGAUGGAUCAACUUUGGGUUCAAACUCUUCUUAGAUGGAUCAACUAAGAGGGAGCCAUCUUACAUAUUAUGCAAUUAACUGAAGAUCUUUCAUCCUAGGUGAAUGUGGAAAGCAAGGAGGGAGAGAGCGGGAGAGAGAGACAGACACUGAUGAUAGUGUCCCUGGCAUUGCAUUGACUAUGGGACACGCUAAAGGGAGCACACAGGAGCCCUGAGUCUCCUCUCCCCAGCACCUCCCCAUGUCUGUGUAUCUUUCCAAGUUGAGGUUCUACUGUAUAACAUCAUUUAUUUUUAAGAGCAUGAUCCCCCAACACAAGCCAACUAGCUCAUUUAAGAGCCACUUGAAUAAGCAGCUGUCUUUUCUGAUCCUAGAGCCAAAUUUGGCUAUGUUGACUUUAUUGAAAAGUGCUAUGCUGUUGUCCAACUUGGCAUAUCAAUGUGUCUAUCUGAAUUAUAUUUUAAGGACAAUUCAAAGGAAUUUCAAGGAUAUCUUAAAUUAUGUGUUUCCCUAUCAGUGGUCUUUAAAGCUUAUUCCCUUUGAAAUUUAUACCGACAGGAAAUAGAUGAGUGGUUUUCUGCCUGGGUUGUCUGGGUGGGAGGGUAGAAAGGGAAUUAACUAAAGGAUAUAAAGUUCCUUCGUGAGGUCAUGACAAUGUUUUAAAUUGUCUGGUGAUGGUUGCACAUAUUUAUAAAUAUGCUGGAAACAAUCUAAUUGUACAAUUUAAGUAUUUGACUCGUAUGACAUGUUACUUAUUUCUCAAUAGCUGUUAAAAGGAACCUUAACCCCAUCAUUAAAUUAGGUGGCAUUUUAACGCAGAAGGAUGGAGACAAGUGUUCGGCAAAGCCUCUCCUACCUGAAGAUAAACCAAAGUUUCUAGGAAUAGAAAGAUGCUGAGUCUUGUGUCUGCUGUUCCGGGUCCCUCUAGACUCCUUCUCUCUGUGACUCUUCUACAAGGCACACAUUCUAGAAUAGAAGUAAGAAGAGCAGAAGUAGGAAAGGAAAAAUGAGGGAAAGAGUGCUAGAAUGACUACUUGAACACCAGAGGAGUGAGCCUGGUGUGAGCAAAGGAAGUCGAAGAAAAUACUGUGGUGCAUGCAGGGCAAGCCCUCACACCUGCCAAGUGCUAGCUAGUGCAUAACAACCUGCCUUCGGGCAGAGCAGGAAAGGGUGAGUGGAAAUGAGAGAGCACGUACUAAAGGGUAGAAAGCGGCAGCGGAAUUUGGAUAUCAAUGGCAGACAUAGAGCUGGGGAGCAUUUACAGGCUAAAUAAGGCAAGAAACAUUGUCCUAUAUUCCUAAAGAGGGUUACUAAGAGGGGGAGCUUAUGCACACCCAAUUCUGGUCAGGAGAGGAGUAGCUGCUAUUAGGCUGGAGAAGGUCGUGCAGACGGGCAAGCAGAGAGACAAGGGCAGCCAACAUUCACUUGACUGGAUGGGAAUUUUUAGCUGCCAUCCUCACACUAUGCCCAGGAGUCAUCGCACAUCUUGCUCAUAAAAGAACAUCAGAAGAGGCCACUGGGCCAUCAAAGACCGAAGGAAAUGCCUGUAUCUUCUGAAAUCAAUCAAUAAAUAAUAAAUGAACAUACA